ensembl:lncRNA
GGGAAAAGAGGAGGAGGGGGAGUCAGGCAACAUGUAAACCAAGCCCUUUACAAAUUCAGCCUCUGUCUUCUUGAGGAGCUUAACCGCCUAACACCUCCAACGAGAGCGCAUGGAAAAAAACAAGUUUUGCUCUGGCAGCAGGAAGAUAAGUGACGUGCUUCAAACUGGUUGGUUUUGUCGCUGGGUUUGGCUCUUCUUCCGAUUCUACGGCUACAUCUACCUGAGAGGACGGCUUUUUUCUUCCUAAUCGCCGCUCCAGAGGUCGACCGUCCUUCAGCAGGAGCAGGAAAGAGGAAGACUGGCCAACAGGGCGUCAAGAGCCCUCAUACAAUGAUGCCUCUUGUCUUGGUUUUCUGGCUCGGUGACUGCACCUGGGAAAGACUGGGUGAAAACUCAGAGGCCAUCCUUCCAGCCUGUUGAUAGGCGUCUUACCAGACAUGGUUAGAUGUAAUUAUUGGUGUCUAAUACUGUCUGGUAAUGCCGUCCAUUAAAUGGCAUUACCUUCUGCUCUCUUACUUCCCCUUCUCUCACUCUUGUGCAUCUGACAUGCAGUGUAUUGACAAAGGGCAGUCCAGACAAGGGCAUCAGCAUAUUAAUAGCAGUGGCAGAUGGGGCUGGAUGAUGAUGACUAUGGAACUAUGAUCCUUGCGCUGGAAGAUGGAUUGAUUUCUUGUAGUUUCUUCCAUGUGACUUGAGUCAGAGUUUCUCCACUGAGCAACUGUCCAGUAUAAGAUCGUUCUACUUACAGAGGGCUUUCUCACCUGUAAAUUAGUUUCUGGUAGGAAUGUUAAUGUGAAUGUCACAUAAAAAUGUAUUUUGUAACUUUUACUUGCUGACAGAUCUGUUUUCUUCAUGACUAAAUUCUGUCUGGAAACAUAGUAAAACAAUGUGCAUAGUUUCUGAAACUCUGUUGUCUAUAACAUACUGUACCUAAUGUUAACUGUAUUUACUGUGAUAUGAAGUUGUGUAAUGUAACAGAAGAAAUGAAAUAAAGUAGGAU